rnacentral:lncRNA from 1 species
AAAUGUAAUCCAGCAUAUAAACAAAGCCAAAGACAAAAACCACAUGAUUAUCUCAAUAGAUGCAGAAAAAGCCUUUGACAAAAUUCAACAACCCUUCAUGCUAAAAACUCUCAAUAAAUUAAGUAUCGAUGGGACGUAUUUCAAAAUAAUAAGAGCUAUCUAUGACAAACCCACAGCCAAUAUCAUACUGAAUGGGCAAAAACUGGAAGCAUUCCCUUUGAAAAAAUGGUUCUUAUUCUUACAACCUCACAAGCAACUAAGCUUGAAAAGCUGCACAUUAAUCAAGUUUAUUAAAUACAUCAGCCCCUUUUCAUCCCAG